GGUAAAUGAAGCUGUUGAUCAGUUACGUACCAUUAAAAUGUCAAUUCCAUUAGCUGCAUUUGAACGAGCUGCUGAGCAGUUAGUUACCGCUUAUUCGGAUUCCUUUCAGGAUCGCAAUGCUCGAGGUGAACAGCGAGUAGACAAUCCAUUUCGGAGUCCUUAGGUUUGCCAAUUAACAAAAUUUGUUUAAUGUCAAUUGCUCAAGCCGGUUGUUCAAAUUGGCAACCUACGUUAAAAUACUCUACAAAUGUGUUGGAAGGAAUGAGAUUGUCUCUGAAAAAAUGGUUUUUUGGACCAUAAAACACUGGGCAACAAGAUUUAGAAGAGAGCAAUAACGUGGAAAGAAUAAUCGAGGAAAAAGAGAAUAUUUCUCCAUCCGAAACGAAUAAUGACGUUUCCCGGUCCAGCGGCCACCCUGGACUUAAAGCAUCCUUAUAAAUUGAUUUUCCCAGUAUUUUUUAUGAUUUGAGAAAGUUAUACUAUUUUCUAAGAAAUUAAGGACCCCAAGGAACUAAAUGCACCACUCAAUACCUUCGGCUGGGUUGCUUCUAUAGGAUCAUACGAGGAAGCUGAGGCCCGUCUACAUUCUUUAAAAAUAGCAGAAUACGCGUUCACAAAUGAGAACGAUGUGACUCGAGAAGAAAAAGCUGCCGAAGUCGUGCGUAAGAUAAAACAAAGUAAGCUGAAACUAAGCGCUGAGACCGAAGCUGCUACGCACAUAGUUUCAGAUUUAAGCUCUGAUACUGAAUCGAUGCAGAAAAAACAGCUCUUCAGAUGAUGGCGGUCGUAAAAUAAAUAAUAAACCUUUUAACACUUCUGGAAAACCUGCACAAUCUGAUCGUGGCAAAGCACAUGCUACACAACUUUAAAAGACUAAAGGCACUUACAAAUCACAUCAAGAAAAGGGACAUGCUAAUCGCUUUAGUACGUUAGCCGGAGCCGAUAAAAAUAAUAAACCUUCAAGCUCAAAAGUGAAUAAACCAAAUGCCAAAAGUCAGCUCCCUGCUAAGGAAUUAUUUGUACUUGAGAAUUCAGACGAAAGUGGCGAAUUAAGUCUAAAUGAGUUUGAUAAAUCGGUGAUAAAUACCAAAUUAUCAACCGAUGGCGUAUAUACAGAUUCAGAAGGCGAAAAUAUUUGCAAAGUUAGAAACAGCAAUGAUUUUAAACUAAAACCUGAUAAACUUCAAAAUUCAAAAAACUGCACACGCAAAGCUCUCAUCAUAAAAAGUCAAAAGAGAAAAUGGAACAAAAGCUUGGAAAACUAACAUUUUCUAAGAGUGACCAACGGUUAAAGGAGAAAAAACAACACAGAUCAUACUCGUAGAUAGGCAAAAUAACUUCAGUUAAUUAAAAUAACAGACUUCAUAUUUUGUUAACAAUGCUACUCGUGGUUUAUGUAUUCAGACCUGCUGUGGGAAAUUGACCAUGAUUUGCAAAAGGUAAAAGUAGACUUAGAAGACAUAAAAGCGAAUGAAAGUUUGGAGAAGGAAGCUCGACAUAAAGCCCAGAUUGAACAGGGGAUUCAAGAUAAUUUUAUUAUAAAAUAUAAUUUAGAUUUACCCUUUCAGAACAAACUAGAGUUUGAUCUAUUCUAUGAAAAUCUUGCAACAGUUCAAUAAUUUCGAAAUUAAUUUAAAAAAUCUUGAAACAAAUUGUUCGAUAGAGCCUAUGUUGCGAGUCGCACAAUAGCUAUAAUCUUAAAAAAAUAUUUGUCUUGUGAUUUGGCUAUGCCAUUUACGGCGAGAAAAAGAAUGCCCAAUAAGUUCAUAAUGAAAGCAACGAUUUUCUACAACUGCUUACUAGGGGUUCUUUCUGAAAAGCCUCGAGAUCAAAACGGAAAAUUCAUGACGGAAUCAGUCGUUGCAAAUUUGCUGGGAAAUGUCCUCAGUAAUGCCAAAUACUGGAAAGGAAACCGUAAGAGGUCUCGUAUUGUGACGACGGAUGGUAGUGAGAACGAUGAUAUUGGUGGAGGUUUGCGCUCAUAAAUAUACAUGCGUAUGUAGAUACAAAUAUAUCUGUAAAUAUAUUUAUUAAUGUAUAUUAAACUUAAAUAUAUAUGUUAUCUAUUGUAUACCUGGAUGUAUAACAAGCUUACAUUUUAAUGAAGUUUUGUGUAAGUCUUAAGUCAAGAUGUAAAUGGUGUAAUAAAACUCUUUUAUUAUACUAAUCAUAAUGUUAUAAAAUUGAAACGCAAAUGAUUAAAAACUUGUAUAGCACUAAUUGAUUCAUACCGGGCAACGGUCGGGCAGCCCAGCAAUAUCACGGCCAUGCUCUAUGGCCAGACGCUGGCCAGCGCAGCGUGACGAUGCUGGUCGGAUUCCGGCCAGAAACCCCGGCCACAGCCCGACUUAAAGUCGG